AAGACUAAAAAAUUAAUUCAAUAUGAUACUUGCAGAUGUCACGGUCAGGACGUUAUAAGACAACACUAUACAAGUAAACGAAGCUAUCUAUCUUCUGGUGAAAAAUGGAGUCAUUUCUGAAAGCAAACACCAGGAGUACACAACGAAGGCGUCUGGAUGAAUUCUGAGGCAUUCUGAAACACGCUAGUGUCUGGAAAGGCAGGUGGGGUCUCCACAAUGCCCUGGUGUGGAGACUUGGCAUCUGUACUAGCCAGUGGGCACUGCUACUGCACCCUAAUUCCCUGAGAGCUGUCUCCCCAUUCCUGACUUCAGGGAGUCCCUGCAACUGUGAAGCAAAGCACAUGCAGCUUCCCGAAUUUCAUUUUUAGAGGUUUUCAUCUUUCCCUUAAAACAUUCCAGAAUUCAGAUUGAUUAAGUUCAUCGAUGCAGAGAAAUGUUCUUUAAUACUUGGCUCUCCUCACGGUGCACAUCCCCAUACCCUAAGGGGAGCUUGCCCUGUGGACAUGUCUGGAAGUGUACCAUGGAUUACAGCUGAUUUUGCUAGGAUUUCCAUGAAGAAUUAUGGGAUUUUAAGCCUAGAAGAAAUCUUUCAAGUCCGCUCCUGCCAAAGGUCAGGCUGAGUGCGAACCCUUGCUGAGAGAUGCCAUGGCUGUAACAUGCUUCUCCUUCCCAGCAUGUAGCUUUCACCCGCAAACAGACACGUAGGCUCCCACCUCCUCAGUACUCCCAGGUCUGUUACCCGCCCUGAGCCCAAAAGGAAACAGUGGCCUGAGUCUGCAGCACCUGCCUCUCCCUUUGGAUCAACUGAUCACACUGUGCUGGCCUCAACCAGAAGCUGCGAGAGGGAUGGGAGCAAGGCAGAUGUUGAAAGAGAAGUGGGUUUGGAAUAAAAUCAUUGCGCA
rnacentral:lncRNA from 1 species